AAUUCAUGGUGAGGACACUCCCUUAGAUAUUCAUUAAAUAUCUCCCAAGUUUCACAAAAUGGUUCAUCAACUUGCUGCAGAAACGAUGAAAUCUUAUUUUGCGUGCAGCU
rfam:Brassica oleracea var. oleracea cultivar TO1000 chromosome C9, whole genome shotgun sequence